ACAGGGCUGAGACCUCUGGGGAAGGUAGAGGUGUGAGACGAUGAGGCUGCUGGGUCUUCUCCUGUGCCUGGUGACAGGACCCCACGGUGUCCUGUCUCAGGUGCAGCUGCAGGAGUCAGGCCCUGGCCUAGUGAAGCCCUCAGAGACCCUGUCUCUCACCUGCACGGUCUCUAGAACCCCCAUCACAAUGGGUGGUUAUGAAUGGCACUGGAUCCGUCAGCCCCCAGGAAAGAGCCUGGAGUGGAUGGGGGUAAUAUAUUACAGUGGUGGCACUGCCUACAGCUCAUCCCUCAAUGGCCGCAUCUCCAUCUCCAGAGACACAGACAAGAACCAGUUCUCUCUUCAGCUGAAUUCUGUUACCACGGAGGACACGGCCGUGUAUUACUGUGGAAGAAACACAGUGAUUUGAUUCAAAUGUGAGCAACAGACAUUAACCUCCCUGCAGGGAAACUCAGAACCAGCAGGUGGC